GAGUUUGAUCCUGGCUCAGGAUGAACGCUAGCGGCAGGCCUAAUACAUGCAAGUCGAACGCUCAGUAGCAAUACUGGGAGUGGCGCACGGGUGCGUAACGCGUACACAAUCUACCUCUAAGCGGGGGACACCUCCUGGAAACGGGGAUUAAUACCGCAUAAUAUGCCGAGGUCGCAUGACUUUGGUAUUAAAGCAGCAAUGCACUUAGAGAUGAGUGUGCGUCCCAUUAGGUAGUUGGUGAGGUAACGGCUCACCAAGCCUAUGAUGGGUAGCCGGUCUGAGAGGAUGGUCGGCCACACGGGCACUGAGACACGGGCCCGACUCCUACGGGAGGCAGCAGUAAGGAAUAUUGGUCAAUGGUGGAAACACUGAACCAGCCAUGCCGCGUGGAGGAAUAAGGUCCUACGGAUUGUAAACUCCUUUUGACGAGGAAGAAAGUGUUAGAUUUAUCUAAUUUUGACGGUACUCGUAGAAUAAGCACCGGCUAACUCCGUG
rnacentral:rRNA from 1 species